AGGAGAGUUUGAUCAUGGCUCAGAUUGAACGCUGGCGGCAGGCCUAACACAUGCAAGUCGAACGGUAACAUAAAGAAGCUUGCUUCUUUGAUGACGAGUGGCGGACGGGUGAGUAAUGCUUGGGAAUAUGCCUUUUGGUGGGGGACAACAGUUGGAAACGACUGCUAAUACCGCAUAAUGUCUGAGGACCAAAGCGGGGGACCUUCGGGCCUCGUGCCAAAAGAUUAGCCCAAGUGAGAUUAGCUAGUUGGUGGGGUAAAGGCCUACCAAGGCGACGAUCUCUAGCUGGUUUGAGAGGAUGAUCAGCCACACUGGGACUGAGACACGGCCCAGACUCCUACGGGAGGCAGCAGUGGGGAAUAUUGCACAAUGGGGGAAACCCUGAUGCAGCCAUGCCGCGUGUGUGAAGAAGGCCUUCGGGUUGUAAAGCACUUUCAGUGGGGAGGAAAGGAUAUAAGUUAAUACCUUAUAUCUGUGACGUUACCCACAGAAGAAGCACCGGCUAACUCCGUGCCAGCAGCCGCGGUAAUACGGAGGGUGCGAGCGUUAAUCGGAAUUACUGGGCGUAAAGCG
rnacentral:rRNA from 1 species